rnacentral:rRNA from 1 species
GAUGAACGCUGGCGGCGUGCCUAAUACAUGCAAGUCGAGCGAACGGACGAGAAGCUUGCUUCUCUGAUGUUAGCGGCGGACGGGUGAGUAACACGUGGAUAACCUACCUAUAAGACUGGGAUAACUUCGGGAAACCGGAGCUAAUACCGGAUAAUAUUUUGAACCGCAUGGUUCAAAAGUAAAAGACGGUCUUGCUGUCACUUAUAGAUGGAUCCGCGCUGCAUUAGCUAGUUGGUAAGGUAACGGCUUACCAAGGCAACGAUGCAUAGCCGACCUGAGGGGGUGAUCGGCCACACUGGAACUGAGACACGGUCCAGACUCCUACGGGAGGCAGCAGUAGGGAAUCUUCCGCAAUGGGCGAAAGCCUGACGGAGCAACGCCGCGUGAGUGAUGAAGGUCUUCGGAUCGUAAAACUCUGUUAUUAGGGAAGAACAUAUGUGUAAGUAACUGUGCACAUCUUGACGGUACCUAAUCAGAAAGCCACGGCUAACUACGUGCCAGCAGCCGCGGUAAUACGUAGGUGGCAAGCGUUAUCCGGAAUUAUUGGGCGUAAAGCGCGCGUAGGCGGUUUUCUAAGUCUGAUGUGAAAGCCCACGGCUCAACCGUGGAGGGUCAUUGGAAACUGGAAAACUUGAGUGCAGAAGAGGAAAGUGGAAUUCCAUGUGUAGCGGUGAAAUGCGCAGAGAUAUGGAGGAACACCAGUGGCGAAGGCGACUUUCUGGUCUGUAACUGACGCUGAUGUGCGAAAGCGUGGGGAUCAAACAGGAUUAGAUACCCUGGUAGUCCACGCCGUAAACGAUGAGUGCUAAGUGUUAGGGGGUUUCCGCCCCUUAGUGCUGCAGCUAACGCAUUAAGCACUCCGCCUGGGGAGUACGACCGCAAGGUUGAAACUCAAAGGAAUUGACGGGGACCCGCACAAGCGGUGGAGCAUGUGGUUUAAUUCGAAGCAACGCGAAGAACCUUACCAAAUCUUGACAUCCUUUGACAACUCUAGAGAUAGAGCCUUCCUCUUCGGGGGACAAAGUGACAGGUGGUGCAUGGUUGUCGUCAGCUCGUGUCGUGAGAUGUUGGGUUAAGUCCCGCAACGAGCGCAACCCUUAAGCUUAGUUGCCAUCAUUAAGUUGGGCACUCUAAGUUGACUGCCGGUGACAAACCGGAGGAAGGUGGGGAUGACGUCAAAUCAUCAUGCCCCUUAUGAUUUGGGCUACACACGUGCUACAAUGGACAAUACAAAGGGCAGCGAAACCGCGAGGUCAAGCAAAUCCCAUAAAGUUGUUCUCAGUUCGGAUUGUAGUCUGCAACUCGACUACAUGAAGCUGGAAUCGCUAGUAAUCGUAGAUCAGCAUGCUACGGUGAAUACGUUCCCGGGUCU